GGCCAAAUGGUCCCGCCGAGAGCAGAGCGUGGAGGUGGCGCGGGCGCGGCGGUGGGCCUGGGGGUCGUCACUCCUGCAGCUGGCAGCCGCCGCUCCGCGCUUCCUGCCGCAUCUCUCUUGCCCGGCGGGCGCCCAUCCCGUCCCGCCCCGGCCCGUGGACCUGCAAACCGAGGCUCAGAGCGGAUUUGCCCUAGGGGCUUUCACGAGCUUAGCAGAGGGGUUCCCGGCGGGGUUCCCUGGGGUCACGGGGCGCGAUGAGCAGCGAAGAAAGGAGGCGAGGAGCUGCGUCCGGGCUUGGUGCUCUCUGAACGCGAGGAGGCGGGAUGCGCUCGCCGGGGUCCAUGAUGUGCUCGGCGCCCGUCCCUGGGCCCGGGAAUGCGGCCGCUGGGGAACCGGGGCCAGCGAAUUCGCCCGCGAUCUCCGCGGAUCCCAGGACUGCCAGCGCUUUGGCCCUAGAUGGACGGUGGGGAAUGGGGUAGGGGGCUCCGGAACCCCUAACGUGGAUUACUUGGUGCAUAUCGCCCGGGCAUGGAAGACCCACCACCUCGUCUCCACCCGUGGAUUGAUGCCUUCUGCCGAACAGGUCGCUUACCUGGAGGUGGAACCAGAGAUUCGUGGCUGCUGUGAGUAGGUGCUUCUGACGGGGAAAGAAGGACAAGAUGAGAGGCCUGGAAGGAAGGACCGAUACAGGGCUGUUCUUCCUCGCCCACGCUUCCCACCAGGAACUUCUGUGGAGCCAGAGUUUGCCGCCAGGACCCCCACAGGACCUGGGUGAAACAGGACCAUCUCUUAAGAGGCAAGAGCUCUUGAUUUGAUUGAGGAUUCUUAUUUUGGAGAACAAAGCAACUUCCAGAUUUGAGAAGACCUACAGUUGAAGAAGACACCAUUGUCCCGGAUCCCUUGUUCUUCCUUCGCGUGGGAAAUGUUUCUUGGCGGGUUCCUGGUCUUAAGACUCCCCCACACCGGCCCCGGGGAAGCCAAGGACUUUCUGCCACACCCUUCCUCGCCCCCCACCUCCCACGUCCGCUGUGCCUUUGGACUCGGCAAUUCUUCUUGUUUGCUCCAUUAUCUUCCAGCCGGAUACAGAGUGAAUAGUUAACUACCCGCAGGUCAAUGGGGUCUUAAUUUUUGUUCCUGCUCCCUCUACAGAGGCCAGUGUCUGUGUGUUGCUAUGCAAGCGGCCUUGGAAUUGCAUCCCUUCUCAUUGAUUUGGGAUCUGGCCCCCGCAGGUUCCAGAGCAAUGCGGGUCCAGGCAGAAAUUCUUCAGGCUCUCAGGAUGUUGGAGGGGGCGCUGGCCGCGAGCUGGACCAUGAAGGCUGGCGUUCCCCACAUUCAGCUUUCUUGGGUUCGGAUCAUAAGCAGGUGUAGAUCUGGAGAAGCAGAAAAUGAACACAUUUUCUACUGACACCGAUGCACGGUCAACGGUGAAGACCUUCUCCCAGCUAGCAUUUGGGUUCUGUGUCCAAACGCGGCGCUUCAUGGCAGAGUAUCCAGCCACCAGAGUUGGUGUGUCUUGAGGACCUGAAUUCUUGAGUGUGUGCUGGUGACACAGCCCUCUGACAGUCGAUGGGGCCUCACAAAACACAAGUCCUGCCUUUUCCUUUUCACUCUGUGGCCGUCAUACAUACGGCUAAAAACAUUUCCUAGAGAUCAGUCAUGGUUCAGUCGUGUCCAAAACGCAGAGCCAAAGAUGCAUUUUCUCUUUUCACAGCAAAUGAAUGACUUGCCUUCGGAAAAAGAAUGAAAGCCAGACAUUCUGCAUCUUUCCCGUGUUGUAGAUGAUGCAUUUGGAUGACCACUUUGUGACUUUGGUGUCUUAGAAGGGAAGCAGUGGGGUCCUUGGCAUCUCAGAUUCACCACAAAACAGACGAGGAGAACUUCUGGAGGAUGGUUUGUGCUUUUGAAAUGGGAGGCUUGUUUGUGGGCUUUUACCUUCCUUCCUUGACCUGCAGACACCUCAUUGCAUUAGAUUCCUUUGGGUUUUAAGAAGCAGAGACUUGCUGAUACUGCUCCGUACGUGCUGGUUUGUUUCGAGUUGCCAUGGACGUAAAGAAGAAAGGAAGCAGCCCGCCGAGGCGCUCUCCACCUAGGCCUGCCCAAGAAGCCCAAGUCGUUCCAGAUAGCCAGGGAUAGCAGAACCGAACCACCCUGGCCAUCUUGAUCUUCUGUUUGCACCAGCAUCCACUGUUCCCAGGAUCCUACCAUGGUGAUGAGCUGAGGGUGACUCAGUUGGCCCAGGACUGAGGAGUUUCCUGGGAUGCAGGACUUUUUAGUGCUAAACCUAGGACAGUCCUAAGCAAACUGGAACAACCAGUCACCCUACUGGGUGACUCGAGGACCCUGCCUCUCUUCUACUUUCCCUGCUGUGACUGGCUGAUGCUCUUGAUGGGUCUGGCCAGUCGCCAUUCAAAACUCUUGCGUCAGGCAACUUCAUUGGCCACUGGGCUACCUAUAGAUGGGUGCCCGUGGACCCAGCACCAACCCAUCUUGACCAGAUUUGUUGUUUCCAGGGUCAUAGGGUUGCAUAAUCUAGAAUAAAAGCCUGGCUGUAAACAACCAGCUGAGACCACUUCCUUCAGAAGACUGCUGUGGACAGGUGGCCCUGGCAGGCAUUCAAGGUAAAAUGAGUGAGUCAGGCCACACGCUUCCCAAAGCCUCUGCCAGCGCUGCCAUCCACAGGGCUGCCAUAUUGGAUGCAGUUCAUGACAAAGGAUUUGCUACUUUUUGUUCUCUCUGGCUCUCCUCCUGCCUUCCCUUCAGCUUGCUCCAAGAUCAUGUGGACACACACCUCAGCAACCUCUGCCCCUCUGACCUCAUCCAAGUCACUGGCCUUGGGAGGCAGCCCAGGUGUUUCGAUUGGGCCAACUGCUGACAUUCCCUGCUGGUGACAACUUCUCCUCAAAGUAACACUGGAGAGAAGAAACUAAGAAACAGGCCUUUGAUGGGCCAGGGCAUCAGGAGAUUUCAACUAAAGCCUUGAGAGUAUCCACAUGGAUGUUUGAAGCGUGUUUCAUUCCAUUCAAAACAGUGUUUGUCCUGCAAGUCUGAGGCUCCAGUAAAGAGAAGUUAAAUCAAACCCCGGCACACCCUGAGUGCUAUAAAAUUACUCAUGAGAAACUUGUUGUCAAUUACCAGAGUAAAAUAAUAGGGCGUUUUUUCUCUCUUUAUUUAAAAUACCACUUCACAGCCAAGCAGUCAGGAGUGCCGUCAAGGGCCGGAUGUACUGCUUCCCAGCAGGGUUGGACAGGUUGCUGGGGCUCACCCAGUGGGUGGAUUUAUGGCUUAGCUGGCAUUCUGGGUGACACAAGGCCGUCUCGUGAGCUGCUGCAGGAGGACAGUGCCUGUGCUUGUGACUGGCCCCAUUCCCUUCCCGAGGAGGUACCAACUGCUCGGCCCCAUGGAGGUUGUCCGCACCCCAGAAGAUUUCUGUUAUGUCCUUGACAGGCUUUCUGUGAGCCUCCUGGCAUGCCUUCCCCAUGCUGGCUGCCCAUGGCUGCUUCUUCACCGCCCAGAUGAAUGGAAAGCUCCCACAGCCCCUGGGAGGCUGCCAUAUUGAUCUCCGGGGGGAAGCACGCCUUUUCCGCGCUCUCAGGAUGAAUGGGAAGAAAACAAAUGCCUUGGCAAAUGCAUUGGGGUUGGCUCGAUCCAGAUGGCAAAAGGGAGCAUCUCAAUAAAUGGUCAUAUUAUAACAUUUAUCAACACCCUUGAGUCACUGGUUCUUAACUACCAAGACGCAUUAGCUAAGUUAUGGUCUUGGCUCUUUUAAGAACUAGCUUUUGGAGUUAUUUUACUUCUUGGGUCUUAAUGGUCUGAGAUGAAUGCUAUCAACACUUACAAAGUAUCCUCAGGCACUGAGUACUUUUAUUCAUAUUCUGCAAGCGUGAUGCUGACAAUAAUCCUGCGUGAUGAUCAGGAUCAUUUAUGGUAUACACAACAGGAACACUGGGUUCAGAGAGACUUUCAGUGAGUCACCCCGGAUUGCACAGUGAGUGAAAGAGUCAGGAAUUCAACCCAAGUCUCUGACUCCAAAUUUUGUGCCCUUCUCGAUCAUCAUAGUGAAAUUGCACUUGGCAAUCAGCAGGUCCUACCAGCUUUUAACAUCAUCUGACUGUAGGAUUCAAUGCCUGCUUGGAGGCUGUCUUCUACACACGGCAAUUGUGGAAUUUAGAAUUGAGAGCCUUUGGAGGGUAUCGCAGCCUCUUAUGCAGAUAAGAAAUGGAGUCACAGUUCCCUCUUGUAAUGCGUUCCUGGAUCAUUCAGCUUCUUUUUACAUCAGUCUUGCUAUUGAUAAGACAUCUUUUCUGGCAACUUUCCUCUACUCUCUUCUGCUACAGCUCAAGACAAAACUAUAAUUCACAAAGACACAUGCACUCCUGUGUUCAGUGUAGCACUAUUCACGAUAUCCAAGACAUGGAAACAACCUAAAUGUCCAUCAACAGAUGAAUCGAUAAAGAUGUGGUACAUAUAUACAAUGGAAUACUACUCAGCCAUAAAAAAGAAUGAAAUAGUGCCCUUCACAGCAACAUGGAUAUGACUAGAGAUCAUCACACCAAGUGAAAUAAGUCAGAUAGAGAAAGGCAAAUACCAAAUGAUGUCACGUCUAUGUGGAAUCUAAAACAUGGCACAAAUGAACCUAUGUACAAAACAGAAACAGACUCAUAGCCAUAGAGAACAGACUUGUGGUUGCCGAAAGGGGGGGUGGUUGGGAUGGACUGGGUGUUUGGGGGUCAGAAGAUGCAAACUAUUACAUUUAGGAUGGAUAAGCAAUGGGGUCAUACUGUGUAGCACAGAGAACUAUAUCCAGUCUCUUAGGAUAGAAUAUGAUGGAAGAUAAUAUAAGAAGAGGUAUAUAUAUAUAUGGAUGACUGGGUCACUUUGCUGUACAGCAGAAAUUGGCACAACAUUGUAAAUCAACUGUACUUGAAUAAAAAAAUCAUUCAUGUAAAAACUGUUAUUUCCUUUUACCCUUUGGAGCUGAGUUAUACAGAUCAUUAGCCCAGUAAAUGCCAUCUAUUUUUGAUCAAGGGCUGGAAUGCAGAGACUUCAACAGAUUUUCCCGCCUUUGAUAAGACUUGCUUUCCUCACACAUGCUUUCUACCUGAAUGCCACAUCCCCGCCUCCCCGCCACCGGCAAGGCAGCUGAACUCUCCAGGUCACACUGUGACAUGGCCACCCCACCGUCGUAUUCGCUUGGCUGCAUGCGAUGGCUUGAGUUCCCUUCUUCCCCACUUUCUGACUCUCCCCUCAACCUCUCUGAGUUGGCCUGCUUUUCAUCUCCCAUUUCGCCUCUUUAACUUUCCCUCUUCCUGUCUUGGUGUCACUUCUCAAGCCUGCGUGCUGAGAAGAAACGUGAAAAAGGGAAAGAGUCUGAAAUCCGAUGCCCCGCUAACCUGUCUAAUCCUGUUCCCGGGUUCAGCUGCGCCGCUGAGCAAUAACCACGGGAGGGGAAAGGGGAAGAGGGGGAGACGGGCACCCUCGCUCCCUCAUUCGUUCUGACAAACGCCUGUCAACACUGACAAGGCUGCCUUAGGGUCGAGAGGCCAAAGCAGUUCUAGAUGGAGACUUCUGCCAGUCUAGCUUAAGAAAAGGCCUUCUCCUCUUUGGAAAUGGCAUGGCCAAGGUGGCAUGAGCUAACCAGAACCUUAUAUUUGAGGGGGAGAGGAAGAAGUCAUUUCAAUGACAUAGAUCUCAAUCCUGGACGAAGCUUCAGUGAGUUGACAUGACUGUGAAAAUGUCACUUAACCUUUGCCGUCUGCUAAGUCACUGGAAACCUACAGGUCAGAACGUCCUCACGAUGCAUCUCAGAGGCUCUGCAGUGAACAAGUUAGGGAUGGGAAUGGGCUUUGAACUAAGACACACAUCAUAUGAAGGUGUGGGGUAGUGCCUUGCCUUGCACGCGUCACUUUUUUGUCGGUGGAGUUUUUCCAGGGUGAGUAUCUGGUUCCCAUGGACUUUCCCCAUAUUCUUUUAUGAUUGGUUGAAAAUAUCCAACCACUUUGGAUUUAUUUUGCCCACUGUGUGUAACCUAUUCAUAUCUGUUUCCAGGCGUGGGAAUGGUCCGUCACUCACUGGCCACAGGGACUAUUUGAAUGAUUUGGUCAGCUAAGUGAGCAUCCAUUUACUUUGAAUUUUAAUGUUUAAAUUUCAUUUAUUUAUUUUAACUUUCUUUUUCUUUGUUUUUGGCUGUGCUCUCAGCAUGUGGACGUUCCUGGGCCAGGGAUGGAACACACACCACAGCAGUGACCCAAGCCACAGCCGUGGCAAUGCUAGGUCCUUAAGCCCUUGAGCCACCAGGAAGCUCCCCCCAUUUUUUAAAGAACACACACCCCUCCCACACCUGUGAGCUCAGCUGAGCCAAUUUCCCCAUCACGUUAUGUGAGUAGCUGACCUCCCCGGUUAAAACCCUCAUCUCUGGCUUGCUGUCAUUUUGUAGCAGAUAACACAUAUCACACAAUACGGGAAGCUUCCGGGGCUCUUUCAGUUAUUAGCUUUACUUAUGUUUCAUCUCAUCAUGAGGAGGAGCUCAAGGUAAGCUGUGUUUGUGGAAAGAAGAUCCCGGAAACCACCUCUCCAUGAUCGGUUCGCAGUAAGGCAAACCGAGCGAAGAUUAGGUCACCAACACUGUCUAAUUGUAACUGUUAUUAUCCACCCCAAGGAGCACAUUUCAUCCAGUCCUAAUAUACUCUCGUUAUAUAAGUAAAUCUCUGGAAUCAAAUACAUUUUAGUACAAUAAUUCCCGAAUUAUUGUUUUCAAAAGAAACAAGAUCUAAGCUGUGUGAUUAGGAGGGGUGUGUUUUCCUCCUCCAAGACCAGAUGGGACGCCUCUAAGACAAUAAUAGCAGUGCCGGGCGUGAUGAGAAGGGCUUGCUUCUUAGCUAGCUUGUAAGCACAUCAGCUUCGGCCUCUUCGCGGUGUAAUGUGAACUUGAACUCCCUCCUUCUUCUCAACACUUGGGACUCAUUUCCUUCCGUUUCCAACCAUGCAGACAAGCUAGUUCCUCCAGGUGCAUCUAGUCCAAUGCUAAAUUUGCAAGACCUAAGGAGGGAGUGAGGGAAAGGGUGGGUUUCUUGAGAAAAAAUGGGAAAACGGACAGGUUAGCAAGGAGGAGCAUCCGCGUGGGACCUCUGCUUCCCUGAGUUCUGGAAUACCUCUUCCUCUUGGUGCGGUACAAGGAAACAAGGAAGGUGAAGUUCCCCUGUGUUGCCUUUUGGGCUCUUCCUGACCCUCUGUGAACCGAAGGGGAUGGUGGUUUAGGUGGUUUGGGGGAAGACCAGAGAGGCCGAAGGAAGAUGUUGAGUUUUGGCCACAUGGAUUACAAUCCUGGACUCACCCUCAACCAGGGCCCUGGACAAGAAGGGAUGUUUGCUUCCCAUCACCCCGGGGAUUGCUCCAACAGACAUGGGGCUGGGAAAGCACCCACGGGCACCCACGGGCACACCUGUGGAUCAGAGGCCAAGUCUCCUCAGUGAAGCAGCAGCUGUGGAGGGGCCUGCGGACAGCAGGGGCUGAGACAAUUGCCUGGACAUAGGAGACACGUUAAAACAAAUUCCAGGAUCACUUCCUCACCUCACUGGUCAGCAAGGAAAACACCUGUUGAGAAAGAACCAAGUGCCAUACGCCAUUCGUGUAUGCGGUUCCAUACCGAAUCCUUCACAUUCAGUUCAUGGUCCUCUCUCAUCGCCUCGUUUUUUCCCCCCCUUCCCAAUGGCAUAAAUGUGAGCCAAAGCAGCUCUAAGCAGUUAGUUGCCCUGGCAAAAGGGAGCCUAUUUAGCUCAUCUCCAAAUGAAAUACAAGGACCUCUGCGGACACACUGUGAUAGUGAAUUCUCGUCAGGUGGAUAAUCAGGAGUAGGCUUGAAUUCUCCAAGUAUGAAAGCGAGGUGUCUGUCUUGGUCGUUGGUUUCUACACGGUUCAGGCAACAUUUGCUAAGAAAUCAGAGGCGACGGUGACAGAUGCCUUUUGCCUUUUCCAUGCGUCUUCUGAGCUCUGCUGGAGUCGUUAGCUGGGCUUGCUGGCUUCUCCCAGGGUUUUCUUCUUCAUCUUGGAGGAUGGGGCAGGUUGAGCUGGUUGCUGCCAGCUUCUUGAAAGCAUUCCCAGAUGGGAAUGAAUGUUUCUGCCCGGUGGUUGGAAGAGGAAGAAUUUCUAGGGAGGAGUUCAUGUUGGGUCUAGUUCCCAUCACUAAUUAAAAUCUGCAGGUAAUGGGUUCCUAAUUUGUUGGUUCCUUUUAUCAUGUUAUUGCCUUUUGAGGACUUGGGGGAUAAGGUCAUGUUAUGAUAUAGCUCUUGGCUGUUGGGGGUGUUAGAUGCUUGGCAAUGACCUGCAGACCCACCUGCUUGGUUCUCUUUCUCUGAGCCAGUAUCCUGGAGGACAGGGUUCAGAAGGACGUUUCACGCUGGGUCCCUAACUGGUGGAAAACCAAGCCAAGCUGAACCGUGCUGCUCUUACAUUUAAGCAGAAGAGAGCCGUGGCUCACUGAGCAAUGCUUCCUUCCCCAGAAGGAAAUUCAUAAUUGGUCCCAUCGACCCUCUUGCCUGUUGGCUUUGCCAGUAGCAGGACCAGGUGGGGGAAAAAU